UACGUAGGGGGCUAGCGUUGUUCGGAUUUAUUGGGCGUAAAGAGCGUGUAGGCGGCCAUGUAGGUCCGGUGUGAAAACUCGAGGCUUACCUCGAGAUGUCAUCGGAAACCAUUUGGCUAGAGUCCGGAAGAGGAGAGUGGAAUUCCUGGUGUAGCGGUGAAAUGCGUAGAUAUCGGGAGGAACACCUGAGGCGAAGGCGGGCUACUGGGCUGAUACUGACGCUGAUGCGCGAAAGCCAGGGAGCGAACGGG
rnacentral:rRNA from 1 species